ACUAGGGUGGGGGGAGACACCGGAGUCCCUGGAGGCAUGCAGCCAGGAGCUCUUCUCAAGCCAGGAAGGAGGUAACCAGUUGCAGCAGCUGGAUCUUGCUGGGGAGGAAAAAG